rnacentral:rRNA from 1 species
UACGGAGGGUGCAAGCGUUAUCCGGAUUUACUGGGUUUAAAGGGUGCGUAGGCGGGCUUUUAAGUCAGUGGUGAAAUCUCCGAGCUUAACUCGGAGAUUGCCAUUGAUACUAUUAGUCUUGAAUUAAGUUGAGGUGGGCGGAAUGUGUCAUGUAGCGGUGAAAUGCUUAGAUAUGACACAGAACACCGAUUGCGAAGGCAGCUCGCUAAACUUAUAUUGACGCUGAGGCACGAAAGCGUGGGGAUCAAACAGG